AGGGAGAGUGAGAGAGGGAGGGGAAGAGAAACAAGACACAGCAUCUUCACAGCCAGACACGCCGCUUGCUUGGUGUCGGGGGUGGGCAGGUGACGGACCCCUCUAGGACUGGAUUUUGGGGUGCAGAGACACAGUACCUGUCCCCUCAUCCUGUCUAACACCCCAGGAGACUGUGCGAGAGCGAGGAAGGAGAGGAGAAUCCAGGUCUUGCUCUCCCUCCCUAUUCUGACUCCAUCAACCCUAAUUGUUCUCCAAUUUCCCCCCAUUCACACCCCUGGCUCCCAUACCAAUGGCCACCCCUCCUGCGGAUACUGGGCCACCCCCUGAGGCCCAGACAUCUCCUGAGCCCACAGAACCUGUUUCUGCCUCUGUGGUGGUGGUAGUUGACUCACCCGAGGCUCCUCCAGAAGCUACAGGAUCUCAAGAGGAACCAGAUGUGACCAUCCAAUCAAAAUCCUCUUCUCUCAAUGAUUUGAAAUCCCAGCCUGCUGCAAAUGGAGGGCCCAGGGCCCCUAGCCUUACUGGCUCUGAGGGCCGCCUGGCACAAGCUGCCUCUAACUCUCCGAGGCCCAGCAUAUGUCGACAAGGGUCUACAGCCACGACCAGCGGUAUUGCUGCAGAGAAGCCCAAAGACUAUCUUAUCAUUGCCAUCUUGUCUUGCUUCUGCCCCAUGUGGCCGGUCAACAUUGUGGGAUUUGCCUAUUCCAUCAUGUCUCGUAACAGCCUUCAGCAAGGGGACGUGGAUGGGGCCCUGAGACUGGGUCGCGUAGCAAAGCUCCUGAGCCUUGUGGCGUUGGUGGGUGGAGUCCUGAUUAUCAUUGUGUCCUGCGUCAUCAACUUCGGGUUUUUGUGAAAAGCCGUCAAUUGUCAUACUCAGACACUGAGGGGUACGCCCCAGAAACCAUCGAGAAUUCUUCACAUUCCCACCGUGUCACCAGCUAGAGACCUGAGAAAGCCUUCUCGAGGAGUGUGAGUGAGAGUGUGAGUGAGACUGCCUGAGAAAUGUGAGUGAGUGAAACCUCCCAAGGAGUGUGCGUGAGACUGCUCAUUGAGUGUAAGAAUGAGUAAAGCUACCUCCGACGUGUGUAUGUAUGAGAGCCCUCUAAUUGUGACAGUGAGUGUAAAUGUCCAUCAGUAGGUCAGUGAGUGCGCUGUGAAGGUGAGUGUGUCAGUAGGUAAGUGAGUGCGCUGUGAGGGUGAGUGUGUCAGUCAGUGAGUGGGCUGUGAGGGUGAGUGUAUCAGUAGGUGAGUGAGUGCGCUGUGAGGGCGAGUGUGUCAGUAGGUCAGUGAGUGUAGUGUGAGUGUGUCAGUUGGUCAGUGAGUGGGCUGUGAGGGUGAGUGUGUCAGUAGGUCAGUGAGUACACUGUGUGGGUGAGUGUGUCAGUAGGUCAGUGAGUGGGCUGUGUGGGUGAGUGUGUCAGUAGGUCAGUGAGUGGGCUGUGAGGGUGAGUGUGUCAGUAGGUCAGUGAGUGGGCUGUGAGGGUGAGUGUGUCAGUAGGUCAGUGAGUGGGCUGUGAGGGUGAGUGUGCUGUGUGUUGUUCCUACAUUUUGUAUAUAUAGUCACACUUGCUUCUGAUUAUCAACUCAAGUGAGAAUCUCCAUUCCACAGAAGAUAUAAGCACACUCAUUAUC